rnacentral:rRNA from 1 species
CCUACGGGAGGCAGCAGUGGGGAAUAUUGCACAAUGGGGGCAACCCUGACGCAGCAACGCCGCGUGAUUGAAGAAGGCCUUCGGGUUGUAAAGAUCUUUAAUCGGGGACGAAUUUUGACGGGACCCUACGAAUAAGCUCCGGCUAAAUACGUGCCCGCAGCCGCGGUAAUACGUAGGGAGGAAGCGUUAUCCGGAUUUACGGGGUGUAAAGGGCUUGCAGGCGGGCAUGCAAGCCAGAAGGGAAAUCUGGGGGCUUAACCCGCAAACUGCUUUUGGAACUGCGUGUCUUGAGUGAUGGAGAGGCAGGCGGAAUUCCCAGUGUAGCGGUGAAAUGCGUAGAUAUUGGGAGGAACACCAGUGGCGAAGGCGGCCUGCUGGACAUUAACUGACGCUGAGGCGCGAAAGCGUGGGGAGCAAACAGGAUUAGAUACCCCAGUAGUC